rnacentral:rRNA from 1 species
UACGUAGGAUCCGAGCGUUAUCCGGAAUCACUGGGCGUAAAGAGUUGCGUAGGUGGUUUGUUAAGCGAGUAGUGAAAUCUUGAGGCUCAACCUUAAGGCUAUUACUUGAACUGGCAGACUAGAGUUUGGUAGAGGUUAUUGGAAUUCCAAGUGUAGGAGUGAAAUCCGUAGAUAUUUGGAGGAACACCGAUGGCGUAGGCAGAUAACUGGACCAAUACUGACACUAAGGCACGAAAGCGUGGGGAGCAAACGGG